rnacentral:rRNA from 2 species
AGCUUGUUGGUGGGGUAAAGGCCCACAAGGCGAUUACAGGUACGGGCUCUGAGAGGAGAAGCCUGGAGAUGGGUACUGAGACACGGACCCAGGCCCUAUGGGGCGCAGCAGGCGAGAAAACUUUGCAAUGUGCGAAAGCACGACAAGGUUAAUCCGAGUGAUUUCUGCUAAAGGAAUCUUUUGCCAGUUCUAAAAAUACUAGUGAAUAAGGGGUGGGCAAGUUCUGGUGUCAGCCGCCGCGGUAAAACCAGCACCUCAAGUGGUCAGGAGGAUUAUUGGGCCUAAAGCAUCCGUAGCCUGCUCUGUAAGUUUUCGGUUAAAUCUAUAUGCUCAACGUAUAGGCCGCCGAAAAUACUGCAGUGCUAGGAAGUGGGAGAGGUAGACGGUACUUGGUAGGAAGGGGUAAAAUCCUUUGAUCUAUCGAUGACCACCUGUGGCGAAGGCGGUCUACCAGAACACGUUCGACGGUGAGGGAUGAAAGCUGGGGGAGCAAACCGGAUUAGAUACCCGGGUAGUCCCAGCUGUAAACGAUGCAGACUCGAUGAUGCAUUGGCAUAUAGCCAGUGCAGUGUCGCAGGGAAGCCGUUAAGUCUGCCGCCUGGGAAGUACGUACGCAAGUAUGAAACUUAAAGGAAUUGGCGGGGGAGCACCACAAGGGGUGAAGCCUGCGGUUCAAUUGGAGUCAACGCCGGA